CCAUUCUCUAAAUACGUGCACGUCUGAC
rnacentral:sRNA from 1 species